rnacentral:rRNA from 1 species
UACGUAGGCAGCGAGCGUUGUUCGGAGUUACUGGGCGUAAAGAGUGCGUAGGCGGUGCUCUAAGUUUGGUGUGAAAUCUCCCGGCUCAACUGGGAGGGUGCGCCGAAAACUGGAGUGCUCGAGUAUGGGAGAGGUAAGCGGAAUUCCUGGUGUAGCGGUGAAAUGCGCAGAUAUCAGGAGGAACACCGGUGGCGAAGGCGGCACUCUGGGCCGGAACUGACGCUGAGGAGCGAAAGCGUGGGGAGCGAACAGG